rnacentral:rRNA from 1 species
CCUACGGGAUGCAGCAGUGGGGAAUAUUGCACAAUGGGCGCAAGCCUGAUGCAGCCAUGCCGCGUGUAUGAAGAAGGCCCUUGGGUUGUAAAGUACUUUCAGUCGGGAGGAAGGUGUUGAUGCUAAUAUCAUCAACGAUUGACGUUACCGACAGAAGAAGCACCGGCUAACUCCGUGCCAGCAGCCGCGGUAAUACGGAGGGUGCAAGCGUUAAUCGGAAUUACUGGGCGUAAAGCGCACGCAGGCGGUCUGUCAAGUCGGAUGUGAAAUCACCGGGCUCAACCUGGGAACUGCAUUCGAAACUGGCAGGCUAGAGACUUGUAGUGGGGGGGUAGAAUUCCAGGUGUAGCGGUGAAAUGCGUAGAGAUCUGGAGGAAUACCGGUGGCGAAGGCGGCCCCCUGGACAAAGACUGACGCUCAGGUGCGAAAGCGUGGGGAGCAAACAGGAUUAGAUACCCCCGUAGUC